AAACUUGCCUCACAGAUAGGGACAACAUUUGGAAACGAAUGCUAAUACCUGAUAUUAUGAUUAUAUGGCAUCGUAUAAUUAUGAAAGCUAUAUGCGCUGUGAGAGAGCUUUGCGUCCCAUUAGCUAGUUGGAGAGGUAACGGCUCACCAAGGCGAUGAUGGGUAGCCGGCCUGAGAGGGUGAUCGGCCACAAGGGGACUGAGACACGGCCCUU
rnacentral:rRNA from 1 species